rnacentral:rRNA from 1 species
GACGGUUGACAUGGGGUAGCAAUAUUCCGUGUCAGCAGUGGCGUAAGGGUGCUUAACACGUGGGUAAUCUGCCGCGAAGUGUGGGAUAACUCGCUGAAAGGCGAGCUAAUACCGCAUGUGAUUUUCUUGAGGCAUCUCAGGGAAUUCAAACAUGGGUCGCAAGGCCUGUGGUUUCGCGAUGAGCCCGCGGCCUAUCAGCUAGUUGGCGGGGUAAAGGCCCACCAAGGCUAAGACGGGUAGCUGGUCUGAGAGGACGACCAGCCACACUGGAACUGAGACACGGUCCAGACACCUACGGGUGGCAGCAGUCGAGAAUUUUUCACAAUGGGGGAAACCCUGAUGGAGCGACGCCGCGUGGGGGAUGAAGGGCUUCGGUUCGUAAACCCCUGUCAUUGGCGAACAAGUGUUGCGUCCUAAUACGGCGCAACUUGAUAGUAGCCGAAGAGGAAGGGACGGCUAACUCUGUGCCAGCAGCCGCGGUAAUACAGAGGUCCCGAGCGUUGUUCGGAUUCACUGGGCGUAAGGGGUGCGUAGGUGGUUGGGUAAGUUUGAGGUGAAAGCUCCGAGCUCAACUCGGAAAAUGCCUUGAAGACUAUCUGACUAGAGGGUUGGAGGGGAGACUGGAAUUCUCGGUGUAGCAGUGAAAUGCGUAGAUAUCGAGAGGAACACCAGUGGCGAAGGCGAGUCUCUGGACAACACCUGACACUGAGGCACGAAAGCCAAGGGAGCAAACGGGAUUAGAUACCCCGGUAGUCUUGGCUGUAAACGGUGCGCACUUGCUGUGAGCGGAUUCGACCCCGCUCGUGGCGUAGUUAACACGAUAAGUGCGCCGCCUGGGAAGUACGGUCGCAAGAUUAAAACUCAAAGAAAUUGACGG